UGAGGAAUAUUGGUCAAUGGGCGAGAGCCUGAACCAGCCAAGUAGCGUGCAGGAUGACGGCCCUAUGGGUUGUAAACUGCUUUUAUGUGGGGAUAAAGUGAGCUACGUGUAGUUUAUUGCAGGUACCACAUGAAUAAGGACCGGCUAAUUCCGUGCCAGCAGCCGCGGUAAUACGGAAGGUCCGGGCGUUAUCCGGAUUUAUUGGGUUUAAAGGGAGCGUAGGCCGUGGAUUAAGCGUGUUGUGAAAUGUAGACGCUCAACGUCUGAAUUGCAGCGCGAACUGGUUCACUUGAGUAUGCGCAACGUAGGCGGAAUUCGUCGUGUAGCGGUGAAAUGCUUAGAUAUGACGAAGAACUCCGAUUGCGAAGGCAGCUUACGGGAGCACAACUGACGCUGAAGCUCGAAGGUGCGGGUAUCAAACAGGAUUAGAUACCCUGGUAGUCCGCACAGUAAACGCUGGAUGCCCGUUGUUAGUUCACUUAUGAAUUAGCGACCAAGCGAAAGCAUUAAGCAUCCCACCUGGGGAGUACGCCGGCAACGGUG
rnacentral:rRNA from 1 species